AAACUCCCUGGUUCCACAGAACAAUUUCAAUUCAGAUUAAUAGUCCAGUACCCCAGGGUGUCCCUCAGUCAGUUUCAGGACGAUCUGAUGUUGCAUUACAUGAUAAAAGCCCUCCAAAAUUUCAUAUUCUACCUGUUCUGCCCAUGAUUUUGGAUAGCUCUAAAAAGGAAACUCCCUAUUUCCACAAAAUAAUUUCAAUUCACAUAAACAGUCCUCUACCCCAGGGUGUCCCUCGGCCAGUUUCAGGACGACCUGAUGUUGCACUACAUAAUAAAGGCCCUCCAAAAUCUCAUAUUCUACCUGUUCUGCCUGUGAUCUUGAAUAGCUCUAAAAAGGAAACUCCCUGGUUCCACAGAACAAUUUCAGUUCAGAUUAACAGUCCAGUACCCCAGGUUGUCCCUCAGCCAGUUUCAGGACGAUCUGAUGUUGCAUUACA